UAGGGAAUCUUCGGCAAUGGACGAAAGUCUGACCGAGCAACGCCGCGUGAGUGAAGAAGGUUUUCGGCUCGUAAAACACUGUUGUAAGAGAAGAAUGGCAUUGAGAGUAACCGUUCAAUGUGUGACGGUAUCUUACCAGAAAGGAACGGCUAAAUACGUGCCAC
rnacentral:rRNA from 1 species